rnacentral:tRNA from 1 species
AGUCGAUGGGAUUCUAACGGGCUGCUGCAUCUUUCUUAUUUCCGUCUUUAUACUUAGUCCUUUAGCUCAGUUGGUUAGAGCGCUACACUGAUAAUGUAGAGGUCCGCAGUUCAAAUCUGCGAAGGACUACGGAUUAAGAUGGGGAAUUAGCUCAGCUGGCUAGAGCGCCUGCUUUGCACGCAGGAGGUCAUCGGUUCGACUCCGAUAUUCUCCACUAGGAAAGUUCUUUGACAUACUGGUAGAAAAAUUUAAUCUUUAUAAGUAAUUAAGAGCAAUUGGUGGAUGCCUUGGC